rnacentral:misc_RNA from 1 species
UUAAGUUCAGCGGGUCUUCCUACCUGAUCCGAGGUCAACCUUGGGUAAAUAAGGCUUUUUAACGGCCGGAACCCGCAGCACGCCCUGAGCGAGAUGUAUUACUACGCUCGGAGUAACUAGCGAGCCCGCCACUGGUUUUCAGGGCCUGCGGCAGCCGCGGGGCUCCAACACAAGCACAGGCGCUUGAUGGUUGAAAUGAC